rnacentral:rRNA from 1 species
CAGGCCUAACACAUGCAAGUCGAACGCCCUUUUGCUCGCAAGAGCCAGAGGGAGUGGCGGACGGGUGAGUAACACAUGGGUGACCUACCCCCCAGUGAGGAAUACCGGCGAGAAAUCGCCGACAAGACCGCAUAGGCUCGGUCCGGUGAAGCGGACAGAGCAAAGUCUCGCAAGAGACGCUGAGGGAUGGGCCUGUGGCCGAUUAGCUAGUUGGUAAGGUAAAGGCUUACCAAGGCGACGAUCGGUAGCUGGUCUGAGAGGACGAACAGCCACACUGGGAUUGAGAACGGCCCAGACUCCUACGGGGGGCAGCAGUGAGGAAUUUUCCGCAAUGGACGCAAGUCUGACGGAGCAACGCCGCGUGCAGGAGGACGCUUUUCGGAGUGUAAACUGCUUUUCUGUGGGACGAGAGUGGACGGUACCACAGGAAGAAGCCCCGGCUAACUACGUGCCAGCAGCCGCGGUAAUACA